rnacentral:rRNA from 1 species
AUUGAACGCUGGCGGCAGGCUUAACACAUGCAAGUCGAGCGGGGAAAGGUAGCUUGCUACCUGACCUAGCGGCGGACGGGUGAGUAAUACUUAGGAAUCUGCUUAUUAGUGGGGGACAAUCGUUUCGAAAGGGACGCUAAUACCGCAUACGCCCUACGGGGGAAAGCAGGGGAUCACUUGUGACCUUGCGCUAAUAGAUGAGCCUAAGUCGGAUUAGCUAGUUGGUGGGGUAAAGGCCUACCAAGGCGACGAUCUGUAGCGGGUCUGAGAGGAUGAUCCGCCACACUGGGACUGAGACACGGCCCAGACUCCUACGGGAGGCAGCAGUGGGGAAUAUUGGACAAUGGGGGGAACCCUGAUCCAGCCAUGCCGCGUGUGUGAAGAAGGCCUUAUGGUUGUAAAGCACUUUAAGCGAGGAGGAGGCUCCUAUAGAUAAUACCUAUAGUGAGUGGACGUUACUCGCA